rnacentral:rRNA from 1 species
GACGAACGCUGGCGGCGUGCUUAACACAUGCAAGUCGAACGGAAAGGCCCUGCUUUUGUGUGGUGCUCGAGUGGCGAACGGGUGAGUAACACGUGAGUAACCUGCCCUUGACUUUGGGAUAACUUCAGGAAACUGGGGCUAAUACCGGAUAGGAGCUCCUGAUGCAUGGUGGGGGUUGGAAAGUUUCGGCGGUUGGGGAUGGACUGGCGGCUUAUCAGCUGGUUGGUGGGGUAGUGGAUGACCAAGGCUUUGACGGGUAGCCGGCAUGAGAGGGGGGACGGCGACCUGGGGACUGAGGGACGGCGCAGAAGGCUACGGGAGGCAGCAGGGGGGAAUAUUGCACAACGGGCGGAAGUCUGAGGCAGCAGCGUCGGGUGCGGGAUGACGGCCUUCGGGUGGUAAACAGAUUUCGCCGGUGACGAAGCGAGAGUGACGGUAAUGGGUAAAGAAGCAACGGCUAACUACGUG